CCCGUUUGUCGUCCCUCUCGCAUGCCUCUUCUUUUGGUUCCUCCUUUCAGUUUUCUGACUCCGGGCCGGAUGUGUGUGUAGCUCAGUGAAGACGGAUCCCGCCCCGUAAAGGACGUUCUCGCUUCCAAGGUCAAAGGCAAAGAAAACAGCGAAACUUGAGGUCUCAACUGCGUCUUACCUAUAUCAAUUGAACUGGCUACCAGCAGAAUCUGAUGAACAAUCCAUCAUCAAAGAAGCAGUUUUUAUAGUUUUCUGGUUGACCGUUUUAUAGAUGCUGGGAAAAAGUGAUAAUAAAGACUAUUUUAAAGUUAUAA